GAUGAACGCUGGCGGCGUGCCUAAUACAUGCAAGUCGAGCGAACGGACGAGAAGCUUGCUUCUCUGAUGUUAGCGGCGGACGGGUGAGUAACACGUGGAUAACCUACCUAUAAGACUGGGAUAACUUCGGGAAACCGGAGCUAAUACCGGAUAAUAUUUUGAACCGCAUGGUUCAAAAGUGAAAGACGGUCUUGCUGUCACUUAUAGAUGGAUCCGCGCUGCAUUAGCUAGUUGGUAAGGUAACGGCUUACUAAGGCAACGAUGCAUAGCCGACCUGAGAGGGUGAUCGGCCACACUGGAACUGAGACACGGUCCAGACUCCUACGGGAGGCAGCAGUAGGGAAUCUUCCGCAAUGGGCGAAAGCCUGACGGAACAACGCCGCGUGAGUGAUGAAGGUCUUCGGAUCGUAAAACUCUGUUAUUAGGGAAGAACAUAUGUGUAAGUAACUGUGCACAUCUUGACGGUACCUAAUCAGAAAGCCACGGCUAACUACGUG
rnacentral:rRNA from 1 species